GUAAUACAUCGGAACGUGCCCAGUAGUGGGGGAUAGCCCGGCGAAAGCCGGAUUAAUACCGCAUACGACCUACGGGUGAAAGCGGGGGACCGAAAGGCCUCGCGCUAUUGGAGCGGCCGAUGGCUGAUUAGCUAGUUGGUGGGGUAAAGGCCUACCAAGGCUACGAUCAGUAGCUGGUCUGAGAGGACGACCAGCCACACUGGGACUGAGACACGGCCCAGACUCCUACGGGAGGCAGCAGUGGGGAAUUUUGGACAAUGGGCGAAAGCCUGAUCCAGCAAUGCCGCGUGUGCGAAGAAGGCCUUCGGGUUGUAAAGCACUUUUGUCAGGAAAGAAAUUGUCUGGGCUAAUGCCCCGGGCCGUUGACGGUACCUGAAGAAUAAGCACCGGCUAACUACGUGCCAGCAGCCGCGGUAAUACGUAGGGUGCGAGCGUUAAUCGGAAUUACUGGGCGUAAAGCGUGCGCAGGCGGUUUGUUAAGACAGUUGUGAAAUCCCCGGGCUUAACCUGGGAACUGCAAUUGUGACUGGCAGGCUAGAGUUUGGCAGAGGGGGGUGGAGUUCCUGGUGUAGCAGUGAAAUGCAUAGAUAUCAGGAGGAACACCGAUGGCGAAGGCAGCCCCCUGGGCCAUGACUGACGCUCAUGCA
rnacentral:rRNA from 1 species